UGGCUCAGGAACCGACGCUGGCGGCGUGCUUAACACAUGCAAGUCGAGCGAAGCGGCUGAAUUGAUUCUUCGGAUGAUUUUCAGUUGACUGAGCGGCGGACGGGUGAGUAACGCGUGGGUGACCUGCCCCAUACCGGGGGAUAACAGCUGGAAACGGCUGCUAAUACCGCAUAAGCGCACAGAGCUGCAUGGCUCGGUGUGAAAAACUCCGGUGGUAUGGGAUGGGCCCGCGUCUGAUUAGGCAGUUGGCGGGGUAACGGCCCACCAAACCGACGAUCAGUAGCCGGCCUGAGAGGGCGACCGGCCACAUUGGGGACUGAGACACGGCCC
rnacentral:rRNA from 1 species